GCUUGGCCCCCUCUGCUCCCCUCCCCUCCGCUCUCUGCUGAUGGACGUUGAUCCCGGUCCGGAAUAAAACAGCUAUCCUGGUGAUUUAGCGAGGCAUUGCUGCCCUUGGAAAAGGAGGGGAAAUCGUAGCGCACUCCAGGAAUUAAUGGAUACGAGCACGGGAUCUGGCUGUUAUGGCAAAUACCGAUGCUCUUUGAGAAGAGGGAACAUUGAGUGCUAGCGCAAGAUGACAGCAUUCUCGGGCUCCUCGGUGAGAGACUCCAAAAGAUGUCCAGAUAAGGCUCUUGUAUCUUGGUGCCUGUGGAAACCACUCCAGAACCUGCAGAUUCCGUGGCAGGUACAAGCAGUGAGGACACCGGCUCCUGUUGGUGAUCUCCCUCCCCAUCCCUCCUGCUGUCCCCAGCAGUGCUGCGGCAGGAUUCUCCAGCCUGGCUGGACACCUCAGUGAAAUCUGCUUUGCAACAGACAGAUGAGGCUCUGGAGCAAUUUCUGCAGAGCUCUACUGCUCUGAUUCCUGGUGACAUCUCUGGGGCUCUCCCAGUCUGUAGCAGGGGCAGUUGGUCAGAACCAAGGUUCACUUUUCUGAUGAAGUACCAGGACCCCUGCACAUAACGUGCCAAAAGUCCGCAUUUCACAGUGAAACCUCAAUUGCCUACCACUGAGACGUGGAGGAAAUGCAACCUCUAAUCAACCUGCUGAGGACACCAUACCUGCAGGGUGCAGCUGCUGUAGUGACUUUUAUUAAGCUGGUUCACAGGGCACUCUCCCACCACACUGUGAUCCAGCCGCCUGCCCAGCUCUUGAGAGCCUCCUGCAACAAUACUGCUCUCCUCAUGGCCAGAGAUUUUAGCUUCCCAGGCCCUUUUUGUUCUUAGCUUCUCCCUUUUAUAGACUCCUCUUCCUCCAAACAUCAUGGACUACAGCUUCUCUCUCUGGAUGAGCAAUAUUUUCCUCUUCCAGAUGUUCCAUCUCUUUCAGACAAUCUCUGCACUAAAGUUUUAGGCACAAAUUUUGAAGGUCUUUCUUAUAUCUUUAGAAGACACCUGUCUGGCUCUUCUGCAUAUCUUCUGCAGCAAGCACAGUCGGCAGCAUCAUCUGAAUGCUGUAAGAUGUCCUGAGGUCAGGCCAGCAUCCCUGCUUGGCACGAGCCUUUGGCUGGUCUCACCAGGCUGCAUCAACGUUACUGGAGUUUCUGUACAGAGAGCUUAUGCAUCUUCACAGAUCCCCGUUCUCUGGUGUGUCCCAUGAGUCCUUAAAUACUUUAAAUACUUCUGCCACACAAACUAUGAAAAAGAAUCCAAAAACUGGCAUGUAGCUUCCACCAGCCUUCUGUCAAGCAGAUGUUCAGCUAUAGGAGUGUUGCAUGAGGCAUUGUACUGAUGCUGAAACUAAUUCCUCUUGCCUCCAAAUCACAAGAGGAGGUGUUAAAACCUAAAUAAAUAAAAAAUAUAUAUCCACUAGUCAAAAGAGAGAAGGGGGGUGGGGGGGGAGAGGAAACAUGCUUGUUAAAACUUCCAGACACCUUGGCAAUUAGUCUCACCAUGGCAUAAUCCUGAUGAGCUCUCACAUCUCCUAUUACAUUUGGUACAUAGUGUUUGUUAGCAUUUUACUCCAUCUGCUUCUAUACAAUCUCCAUCAGCCGAAGGAGGAUAUGGUUACUCCAGUCAUUAAAUAAAUGAGGGAAAAGGAUCUUUCCACAGGAGUUAGAAGGGCUCAUUGAAAGAGCUUUAAACUAGAUUUGAAGGGGGGGACUGAUAAAACCAGGCUCGCUAGAGAUAAGCCUGGGGGCUGCAUGCCAGUCUUUUAGGGACAGUGUGCUAGCGAGGUCCUUUGGUCUACCGUCUCAGUGGAGGUAGGGGAUGGAGAUCCCUGCAGCAGCAAAGACACAGGGGUUAUUGAUGUGUUAGAAACCACAGAAGUGCCUGAGAAUGGUCACAUAGGAAUUAGGGCUUCUCCGUCCAAAAAAAGGUGGCCGGAAUAAUAGCUCAGCUGAAGUGUACCUACAAAUGCAUGCAGCGUGGGCAACAAACAGGAGCAGCUGGAAGCCAUUGUUUAGCAAGAAAACUAUGAUAUAGUUGCCAUCACAGAAACAUGGUGGGAUGACUCACACAACUGUAGUGAUGCAGUGGAUGGCUACAAACUCUUCAGCAGGGAUAGGCAAGGAAGGAGAGGUGGUGGGGGGCCCUGUAUGUUAGGGAGUGUUCGCAUUGUCUAGAGCUUAAUGAUGGUGAUGAUGGGGUUGAGUGUUUAUGGGUAAGAAUCAGGGGGAAGGUCAACAAGGCAGAUAUCAUGGUGUGAGUCUGUUAUAGACCCAUCCAGGAUGAAGAGGCAGAUGAAAUAUUCUAUAAGCAGCUGGGAUCAGUCUCACAAUCGCUAGCACUUGUUUUCAUGGGGGACUUCACCUUACUAGACGUCUGCUGGAAAUACAAUACAGCAGAGAGGAAACAGUCUAUGAGGUUCCUGGGGUGUGUGGAAGAUAACUGCCUGACGCAGAUGGUGAGUGAGCCAGCUAGGGAAGGUGUCUACUAGACCUGUUGUUUGCGACCAGAGACGGACUUGUGGGUGGUGUGAUGGUUGGAGGCCAUCUUGGGCAUAAUGAUCAUGAAAUGAUAGAGUUUUCAAUUCUUGGAGAAGUAAGGAUGGGGGUCAGCAGAACUGCUACCUUGGACUUCUGGAGGGCAGACUUUGGCCUGUUUAGGACACUGGUUGACAGAGUCCCUUGGGAGACAGUCCUGAAGGGCAAAGCUGCCCAGGAAGGCUGGACAUUCGUCAAGAAAAUCUUAAAGGCGUAGGAGCAGGCUGUCCCCAUGUGCUGAAAGAUGAGCCAGUGGGGAAGAAGACCAGUCUGGCUGAACAGAGAGCUUUGGCUGGAACUCAGGGAAAAAAAGGGAGUUUAUGGUCUUUGGAAGAACGGACAGACAACUCAGGGGGACUACAAAGAUGUUGUGAGGUUAUGCAGGGAGAAAAUUAGAAGGGCCAAAGCCCAGCUAGAACUUAAUCUGGCUACUGCUGUAAAAGACAAUAAAAAUUUUUCUAUGAAUAGAUUAGCAACAAAGGUGGGGUAAGGAGAAUCUGCAGCCUUUAUUGGAUGUAGAGGGUAAACAUAGUGACAAAAGCUGAGGAAACAGCUGAGGUAAUUAAUGCCGCCUUUGCCUCAGUCUUUAAUAGUUAGACCACCUCCUGGGCUGGAAGACAGGGAGCAGAAUCCAAGGGGAAAUAGUGACCUGCUACACCACUUAGACUCACAAAUCUAUGGGGCCAGAUGGGAUCCACUCAAGGGUUCUGAGGAAGCUGGCUGAAGUGCUCACCGAGCCACUUUCCAUCAUUUAUCAGCAGUCCUGGCUAACCAGGGAGGUCCCAGUUGACUGGAAGUUAGAAAAUGUGACACCCAUCUCCAGGAAGGGCUGGAAGGAGGAUCCAAGGAACUACAGGUCUGUCAGUCUGACCUUGGUGCUGGGGAAGGUUGUGAAGCAGAUCAUCCUGAGUGCCAUCACACGGCACGUACAGGACAACCAGGUGAUCAGGCCCGGUCAGCAUGGGUUUAUGAAAGGCAGGUCCUGCUUGACUAACCUGAUCUCCUUCUAUGACAAGGUGACUCGCUUAGUGGAUGACAGAAAGGCUGUUAAUGGUUGGACUUGAUGAUCUUAAAGGUCUUUUCCAACCUAAAUGAUUUGAUUUGAUUCGAUUUGAUUUGAUUCGAUUUAAUUCUAAUGAUGAUCUCUGUUGCUUGUGGUAAGUAUCUGUUAUGUUAACUCUUACUUUUCCUCCUCACACUUGGAGGUAAUGCUUUUUCCCCCACUAGCACCCAGGUAUUUGCUAAUAAUAAAAUUACUCCUCUUUUUAUUAAGAGGUCUAUACCAGCAUGACUUGCAAGUUCAAUAAAAUAUGUUGGCUAG